GUCCACGCCCUAAACGAUGCACGCUUGAUUACGACGGCUCUGACGCCGCCGGGAUCGUAGAGAAAUUGAUAAGCGUGCCGCCUGGGGAGUACGGUCGCAAGACUAAAACUCAAAGAAAUUGACGGGGGCCCGCACAAGCGGUGGAGCAUGUGGUUUAAUUCGACGCAACGCGCAGAACCUUACCAGGGUUUGACAUCCUGUGCUCACUCCUGAAAGGGAGCUUCCCCGCAAGGGGCGCAGAGACAGGUGCUGCAUGGCUGUCGU
rnacentral:rRNA from 1 species